UUCCGGGUCUAGCCACCCAUCGGGGCUACCAGGCUCUGGGUUGGUGCUGGGAAAUGUCUGCAAAGAGUCCUGCGAUGCGAUUCAUCUUCAGGUCUCCCAGCCAUGGAUACCGGCGCCUACUCUGUUGGAGGUGGCAGGGGAGUGAGCCUAGUCCAAAGACGUUUACAUCCUGGAAGAGAACUUGCUGGCUUUUCACCUCAGCAUGUAUGGGCCAAACUAAUAUAACAAGAAGUCUUGAGAGGAGUCAGCGGCCAAGCUCCAUGUCUUGCAGCCAAACAAUGCUGUGGGAUGGAAGGUGGGAUGUCAUGUGUCUGGUUUACAGCACUCACGUAUCAGUUGGCAGUUAACGGAAGUGCUACUGAUUGGUGAUAUGCCUACUCCCCCUUCACCUUCGAUCAUGAUUGUAAACUUCGUGAGGACAUCACCAAAGGCUGACAUUGGCAACAUGCUUCCUGUACAAUCUGCAGAACAACGAUGGAACAAAAUAAACACCUUUUCUUUAUAAAUUACCCGGCUUCAUGUAUUCCUUCAUAACAAUGCAAAGCAGCCUAAUACAAAUUGUCAGUGAGUAGGCAGAUUUUCAGAAUGUAUGGCUAAUUGGAAUUUCCAUGGUCCUAUAUGAGAAGAGAUUUGAAGUAAUUCCAUAGAAUGUUAUGAGCGCCCUGGGAGAAGAAAAAGGGUGAUUUUUCAGAAGGAAAAGAGUGUAAGAAAAACAUGAAAUUCAAUUUUCCAAUGACAGUUCUG
rnacentral:lncRNA from 1 species